rnacentral:rRNA from 1 species
UACGUAGGCAGCAAGCGUUGUUCGGAGUUACUGGGCGUAAAGGGUGCGUAGGCGGUUGUUUAAGUUUGGUGUGAAAUCUCCCGCUCAACUGGGAGGGUGCGCCGAAUACUGAAUGACUAGAGUGCGGGAGAGGAGAGUGGAAUUCCUGGUGUAGCGGUGAAAUGCGUAGAUAUCGGAAGGAACAUCAGUGGCGAAAAGCGGCUUCCUGGACCAGAACUGACGAUCAGGCACGAAAAGCGUGGGGAGCAAACAGGG